GCAUGCAUUUAACUUGUGUGUGUCUAAGGCAAGCCAUCAGACAUACUCCAGGGGAUGUCUUUCAGGAGGAAGAAGGAAGGAAAUGGGUGUGGAGAUGGAAGGGGGGCAAAGGGAAAAAUUUAUACAAUAAGAAAAUAAGACAGAUGAGGGUCCCAACAUAGACCAAGGUUGUUAGCAUGCCAUGAACUCAGUAAUGUUACAUGCAACUUUCUGUGUCUGCAGUCCAAAAAGUAUGAUAAGCAAAAGAGACUAUAGAGAGACUGAGGCACAGCAAGGGGCAGGAGGAUGGCCAAAAUGGUGGUUGGGUGUCACCCAGACACUCAGGUCCCUCUGGCCGUGGCACUGACAGUCCGGAGUGAUGUAGAUCCACCAGGGCUUGCAGAAGAGCAUGGUUCGGUGCCCAUUCUCUGAUGUCUGCUUGUGUGUGCAGAAGAGCUGCUUGGAGCAGGGUCUCACCUUUCCAUACCCAUUGGACCCCCGCCGCCAUCCACCAGCUGGGUCGCAAGAAAAGGCAAAAGCUAUUGUGACAGCUUCCUUGUUUUGAGAGGCUUUUGUCGAAGGAGGGAAAAAGAAAAGUCAGGAAACGUGUGUAGCUUCAAAUUAUGUCAGUUAUAAAGUUUAUUGUUAGCCCCCGUUAUAAAAAUCAAUAUAUGCUCCUCAUAUAGGAUUUUAAAAGCACUAAGUUUAUUAUUUCUCUCUCAUCGUAAAAUUAACAGUGGUCCUAAUAUACUAUUUAGAAAAUACAAAGUGGAAAGAAGAAAAAUGAAAGUCACGCAUCGUCCUCAACCCAGGGACAACUCCUGCUAACACUCGGAUGCAUGAAUUUUACAUAUACAUAUAAAUAUUCUCAUCUACAGUCAAAUUUAAUAAUGUGAAUGCCUUAAUAAACCACUAAUUCCUCAAUUUCAUCUUUUGGGUUAAUUUCCUAGUCUUUAAGGAACUGUUAGAUGCAACGCUACGGGUAGUAGGGGAAGGACACGAAAAAAGAAAUCUUAUUUUUUGGCCAAAAUAUCCUGCAUAUUGGAUUUGCCUUUGUUUUGUUUUGUUUUGCUUUGAGCCUUCUGCCUUGUUAGGCAGCUGUUUGUAUACUUUCCUCUGCUUUGGAUUUCAGUCUGGAAGCAGCACAUUGAUUUUAAACAGAAAUACCUUAAAAGAGGUGGUGUUUGGGGGUUUACAAUCCCCCCACCAUCAGCUUGCAAGUGGUUCUGUUCCGGCUGGCACGUUACACCAGUAAGAGGCUUGGUGUAUCACCCAGGGAGCAGGUUAGCUAAAUUCAAGGUGAACAGACGGCAUUCUCUGUUUCUCUUCUGGCUGUCUGCCUAGUUUGGGGUCUUGGGGAAUUGGAGAAGCAAAAUUUGGGGGCUGGGAUCUUACAAGUGCUCACAGCACAACCCAAGCCUAAGACCUUAUUUUUCCCUUCCUUCCCUCUUCUUUUUUUUUCAGUUUACAAUUAACACUCAGGGUUUAGUCUCCACCCCUCCCUCUUGAAAUAGAAUUUUUAUCUCUUGAUUCAUGCUACAAGAUAAAAUCCAUGUUUAUCCAGUUGCAUGAAUAAUUGAUAAGCUCUUUCCAACUUGCCAGAAGCAACUUAGCCGUCUCGCCUUGGGGCCUGGAACCCCUGGCAAUUUCCGGAGCACCGGCAAGAGACUUUUGCACAGUUUCUGCUUGGAGUCUACCGACUGUCUGUCUCAGAGCUGGGGGUUUAUCUCUCGAUCCUGAUUCGUCUGGACAGCUGCUUGUUACAUUUGGCUCACGCUAGCUUAAAAAAGGAAUUUAUGGACCUUACUGCAGAACGUCCCAAUUCUUCAGGCCAAGGUGCCUGUGUUCCUGCUCGGUUUCUGGAUUGCUUGGUACUUAAAUGAAACAUCUUAUUAAUCAUUUCCCGGGAAUGCUGUGCAGGCAAAAGGAAAACAAAGGCAUUCAGGAGCCACAGAAAAGUGUACUGGCUCCUGUCCUGGAUCAACUCAGAAAAUGAAACACAUCGGAUUCUGUCCGGGCCGGGCACAGCAACCUGGCCCAUCCAUGUGGGGCCUGCAGUGACCACUUCCGCUGUCUGCACAAAACUGGAGAGAGGCUGGGGGUGCUCCAAGUAUAAGUUUCCUCAUCAGCAGACUGGAAAGAGAAAGACCGACCUGGAGGCUGGUUAUGGGGAUAAAAUAAAUAUGUCCUUAAAUAUGUGUAUAAAGCCCCAGCACAAACAGCAGUCGCCGCAUGGGUCAGGGAGGCACUGCUUGGAGCCUUAUGUGACCGCGUUCUCACAUUAUCUUCCAACCGGUUUGGGAGACAGGUACUGCUAUGAUCUCUGUAUUACACAGAAGCAAACUGAAGCUCAGAGUGGCCGCUCACUUCACUCCGAACAGAAGGUGCUUGAGCUCUGUGCUGAUAGAUGGAAUCCCAGAUUUUCCAUUUAACUUUUGAUGUUGUGUCGUGGGAGUGGUGUUCCACCUUUGGAGGGUUUUAAGGACUCUUUAUUAACCAGCAAGGGUUCUUGUGCCUUUAAGGAGGAGUGAUUGAGAGGCACCUGCAAGGCCGGUGGAGGCUGCUCUGGAGGCCUGCCUCUUCCAGCCCACAGGCCCUGCUUCCUGGAACUGGUGUGGGUCACUCAUUCCAGUUCGCCUCUGAAACUAUUUUCAUGACAGUAAGCUGCUACCUCAAGAAACAGCAACAGCAGGGAUUUUGCCUGUCAGGUAAGGUGCUUGGGGAGUGAAGGCUGUGGUCAGGAUCCAAGCAGGAAGCCUGAGUUCAUGUCUAUUCUUCACCGAGCAUGGCCAAGUCCAUUUGAGUCCAUCUCCAGAAGACGUGUCAAAAUCGCCCACUUAUCUCCAUCUUCAACUCCUCCCAGGUCACCACCUUAUCUUCCUUGGAUGACUGCACUAGCUUCCUGACUGGUUUCCCUAAAACCCGUUCAUUUAUCUAUCCCUUCUACCAUUCCUCCCACCAAACAUCCAUCUCACCACCCACCAUCCUGCCACUUAUCUUUCCCUCCUUCCCUCAUUCCCUUCCUCCAUCUAUCUCUCCGUCCAUCCAUCCAUCCAUCCAUCCAUCCAUCCAUCCAUCCAUCCACCCACCAAUAUGUAUUUAGUGGUUACAAUGUCGCAAGCACUGUGUAGGUCCCAGUGUAGGUGGAAAAGGAAACAGAUUUCCUGACCUCAAACAAAACAAUAAAUUUCAAAGUAAGAAGCCCCAUGAGGGAGGAAGUGUAGGCUGUCUUGAAAGAGGAUGAUAU